rnacentral:lncRNA from 1 species
UUUGGCAGUGAAGAACCACCUCCUCCUCCUUUACGGGACAUGCCCUUCUUUCGUAGAGAGAGAGAGUCUGUGUGUCUGAUUUUGAGUUGAUGAUGAAUCGAUGCUGAAGAAGCCACAAGAUGAUGGAUAAAUCGCUCAGGACCUGAGGUUUGUAUCUUUUGGAGCGGCCUCUGUUUUUUCCUUUUCUUGUUUUUGAUUUGUGGGGUUUUCUAAUUUGUGACUAAGAGGUAGGGGAAAAUGAUAUAUCUUUAUUGGACGCUUUUCUUUUUGUCAUACAGAAAUAAAAAUAAAAACCUUUCAAUUCCUAAUUUCUUUUCAUAAUUUUAUUUGCUUUACAUCAGGAAUUCCUUCUUAGUAUUUUGAUCUAGAAAAAUUGUUCUUUCGAAAAACUUUGCAACUUUGCAUAGAACAGGUCAAAGCCUAUAUAAAUUUUCAGAAAACUAAAAGAAAAUUCCUUUUUUUGGAAAAUACACGAUCUGUAUUUGGAUCAUAUCUUAAUCUGUUAGUUUAUCUCCAGUCUCUCUAUUUCUCUUAAGCUCUUUUUGAAACACAUAUCAAAAAUACAAAAUUACACACAUUUAAAUCUCACAACUUUUGACAAAGGACCCACUAAUUUAGUGAUUUGAAGUAUUUACUCCUUCAGAUAAAGUCUUGAAUUCAAGUACUAGCAUUCAUAUAGUGCAUGUGAGUUUAGUAUAUUAUCCCUUUCUCAAUAAAAAAGGUCUUAAAUAAAAUAAAAAUUUCUCACAACUUUUGGGACGCUUCUUUAUGUAUUGGCAUAAUUUCACCUAACUAAUCUGAAACGCUUGGAGGGGGGAAAAAAAACACCUCAAAAAAUGUUGGGGGGGGAAAGUGCACAAUAUAUUUCACAAAUAAUUCUUAAUCUGCAGCAUAUUGCUAACAAAUUCCGUACAUCUUAAAUUACAUUUAUCACUGCUUCUUCUGAUAUUUUCAAUGAUUGGAACAGAGAUCAAAAAAUUAAAAGACAAAAAUUAUAUAUUAAAAAAGAAUACCACCAAAAUGAGAGGAGAGGAUUUAUCUUCAACCCAUCCAUGCAUUUUCCAAUUGCGGGGGCACAUGAAACCCUGGUUGAUCAUUUAGGCUGUAACCAUAUCAUCUUCCCCUCUCUGUGCUGCCGCAUCUGCCAGUUUUUUCCAUGUCAACUCCCGCUGUUCUUCCACCUCUCUGGACCUGGCCUCUCUCUCCGCAAGCUGCCUCUGGCACUCUUCAAACAAGUCAGCAUCCAUUUCCAAAAACAUUUUUCGAACAUUGACGGUCAGCCCAUGAACUGCUUGGUUCCAGUGACUUUGGAUAUUCCUCUCCAAUGCCUCAAAAAUAAUUGGUAGAGUGACAUUCCGGUUCUGAGCAAUUAAACCCACAAUGUGCUCAUUAUUCCACAGAAAGAGUGCUCGUUCCGCAACCUGCAUUGCAAAUGUGACUAAGCAAAAUUUUCAAGAAAGGAUAUUCUUAGAGUAAAAUACAACUUUAGAAGUUUUGAUUUGGAGUCUGAUCCUCUCACCAAUUCAUUAAUGAUGAACAUUUGGAAACAUUAGUACAAAGUCCUAACAACAUUACUCUUACCAGAUCAACACAAGUUAUUGCAAAAUUAACAAACAUUACAUUCAUAUAGUCCUAACAACAUGUCCCUUCACCAAAUUAACACAAAUUACUCUUAUCAGAAAACUUGCUUCAAGCCAACAACAUUCAUAACACAAGACAGGAACCCAAUUAAAAAUUUCCAAUCUUUUACCUCCUUAAUUCUUUUCAUUGACAUUUGUAACUUGUUUAAUAGAAUACCAAAAUAUAGCCUCACGCGCAGCACUAAGCACAUGCAUAACAGCAAGCACAAAAGUUGACAAAAUUCCAAAAUAUAUAAUUCAUAAAAAUGAAAAGUGGAGCACUUUAGGUUCAAAUCGUUGCUGCAGUCUAGAAAAACUAGUUGCAUAAAUAUCAAUGGUAAAGGGAAAAAGAAAACCUACUGCUGAUGAUGCUAAAUAAGAAUAAGUCGGGCUGUUUCAUUGGAUCAUUACAUAUUGGUGCCAGGUUUAUUUAUAACAAUUCAUGCAUGGAUCAAUAUAGAACGUAUUUCACAGAUCAGGAAACUUAUCAGCAGAAAGCUAAAUAGGGAUGGACGGAAAUCACCAAAACAAUGUCAAACACAGCAAGCAUAUUGAAAGUUAGGUUAUCUAAGGUGAACCAUUCUAGGAUAUUUCCCACCUAGUUGUGUUUUUUCCCCCUAAGGUUGACACUGCAUGCUUUCAGUUAUCUUAUAAUGGUUCUUGAUGUGAUAAGUAUCUAACUACUUCACCCAUAUCAAGUUAUAUGGCAUCUAUUCCUACAGACAGAGUACAAGUUGAUCUCUCAUUCCAUCCACUUUAUCGCAGCCUAUCUGCUUAUUCAAUAGAAAACCAAAAUGUCAAAAACACUAGCAUUUUUAACGUACUACAUGGGCAUUUCUAAGAAAUUAGCAUAUCAAAGAUCUUUCCCCAUGGGAGAAACACGCAAGUAAACAUUCAUUUGGUCCCCACUAUAACAGAUUGGAACUCUCAUUAGCACAUUAUCUGCAACAAAAGGACUAGAAAUAAGUAAAUUUAUCAAACAAGGAUAAACAGAUUAAGGCUGCAGCCUCAUGCAGAAAUAGAAGAGUACUAGUUUCAGAAAGAUUUUGGAAACGGGUUACAAUAAAUGUUCUCUAUGCAUAAGCAAAUGCGAGAAUAUAACAUAAUAUGGCACCUUUCACAAACAGCAGCAGUUUCCAUUUGUGAAACAUGUCAUAUGAAGAAACAGCUCAAUCCAUCAAUAACAUGAAAACAUAAUAUAAGUACAAUGAAAGCAUAACAAAAUAAAAAAAAACUGUGAAUUCAGAAAAAGAAAAUGGAAAGGUGAAACUUCGGACCUAGCAGAAACAGAAAAAUGCCAGUAAGUUAUAUUCAUAAAAUAAACAGUGAAAACAAAUAUAUCAUUGGGAACCAUUUGUCUUAAACAAAUAAGUUAAAGAAUUAGUUUAAAGCUUCAGCAAAAUGAAGCAAACCCAAUAAAAUUUGCAAAGAUUCCCAAACCUGGAAAUGAGAGCUAUUGAGGCAGCGAGCAAUCUGUCUGAAAAGAGGAACCAUGCAACGCUGAAAUUCAGCAGCUUGUGUAGCCUCCAGAACUUCUUCAAGUUCUCCAAGGAAAAGAACUUCCUUCUGGCAAUUGGUCAGCGGCCAGUAUUUCAACAGACCCCUAACAACCGUAUCUGCCAAUUUGUAAUCCUUUUCAACAAAUUGGGUUAUGCAGUAGGACAGCUGCUGAUGAUAAACUGCAAUUGACUUCGGCUUAUGCAGCGGUAUAAGUGCCCGAACAAGAAAUAACUUAUGCUCCUCUUUCAUUGGUAGUGCAAACCCAUUAAUUAUGCUCCCAAGAAUCUCUAAAAGCUCAGCAAUGCCGCUGUGCCUCUCAGUCUCAUAAAUAAACCGAUAGAAUAUGUUAUUGAUGGCUUUCCUGAUGAAGGGUCGGUGCACCAUGAACUUCCCAUAUAUUCGGUGAAGAAUGUUUUUCAAGUACUCACGCUCACGCGGGUCCUCAGAGUCAAACAAAUCUAGUAGCUUCAACACAAACGAGUGAUCAAUAUAACGCUUGGCAACCUUGGUAUCAGUAUCAGAUGACACAAUGUACCUAAGAAGGAGCUCAUAAACCAACUGCAAAUGAGGCCAUGAUGGCUCCAAAUAAAGCUCCUCCUCUUCAGGAUCGGCAUUCUCUUGGCCCGUGUUUUCAUGAGACGCAGGGGGCAAGCAACGAAAUAUAUUAACAGAAACCAUUUUGAUCAUCUCCUCUUGACAUGUCUCGGUGAUCUUACCCGACCCAGAUUGUAUGAAAUCAACCAAUUCCAAAAGGGUUUGACGCUUAAUUUCCUUUUCUCUAGGGGUCUUAAGGGUAUCAGAGAAAUCAAAUUGAAAGCAACAAACCUGCAAUUUGCGAAGAAACAGGGUCUGGCGUUCGGAGACGGGAGCGUCACGGAAGAACGGGAGAGGCUCGAUGGUGCCCGAAGGCGGUAACGCCGUUAUCCCCGGAGCCCCACCCGAAUUGGGACCUGAAGCAGCCGGCCCGGCCCGGGACGCGUGGUUUACGACCACAUUCGCGACUGCCCCGGAAUUUCGGGUACCCGGCGGGCCGUACCCGUAGGACGAAGGAUCAUGAGAAUCGGACUUGGAGGGCUUCUUGUUUCCCUUGAUGAUCUUCUUGAACAUAAUUUCCCAAUUUUCCCAAUGCAGCAACGAGUCCUAAACCCUAGAAUUGGGGGUGGGGAUCGGAUUGGAAUCAAAACGAGCUCGGCGAUGUUGAAAAAAAAACGAUUGGCGAUCAGAUUCAGCAUGCAUGGAACAACAACCCCAGAUUCUCAAUCAAUCAAUCAAUCCCUGCAACUCUUAUUCAAUUUGUGAUUUCUGCGUCGGAAGACGAAACUGAAACUGAAAAGGGGCGUGGGGAAGCGAAGAAAUGUACCGUCUUUGGAGUUUCGAAUCGGAGAGAGAUGUGGGUGGUGGUUGGUGGAUCCGAAAUGAAAGUCAUCUGAGUCGGAUCGCCGGAAUGCCGGCGACUUGAUCGGACGGUGGUCGUUCCGGCGAUCAACCCGAUGAGAGAGAAAGCGAGGGAGAGAGAGAAAGAGAGAGAGUGUACGUAUGUGUGUGUAUGGAAGUGGAGGGCGGAUAAUUAAGGAAAAUGAGAAAAUUAAAAAACCAAGAAAAGUUUAAAACAGCAAAAAUGGGAAUGAUUGCAAAAACGCCCUUUAUAAAUAAUUAAAAAAAACACACUGACACUUGUUUAUUUAAGGAAUAAUUUGUAUUUAUUAGUUUUUUUUUUGUUGGGAAUUAGUUUAACAAAAAAAAAUUAGUUUAGUUUAGUUUUUUAGGUUUUCGGUUAUUUCGCACGUGGCGCAUGAGUGAAGGAACUGAUAAAUCUGAAAAUAUGAGCCGUGUUUGUUUUUUUUAAUUUAAAUUUAAAUUUUUGGUAUUAAAAUCUGAGAUGUGUGUGUUGUUUUUCAGGUUGGGGGGAUCUUACCAUGUUUAUGUUUCCUUAACCUUGGAUGGAAGUUUGGGUUGGAUCCUUGUAGGUGUUGGUGGGCCCCCACUGUUUCG